GGAAACGCACAAACGGGAGAGUGAGAGAGAGAGAGAGAGGAAGAAGAAAGGAGAAAGAGAGGGAGUUAGGCUCGGAUCUAGGAGUUUUUGCGACCGUUGCGAGCUCGGCUACACGAUAGAAAAUUGUUGGUGGAACUUAUUGAGAAGUAAGGAACAAGCCGAGCCCUAUUUUGUACAAGAGGAACCCUUUUAGUACCAAAGGGUUGAGGUCCAGGCGAAGGAUCCAGUGGUGGACGGAGAAAGGAGCAAAGCUAGGGGUUUGCUUGUGAUUUGUAAAGAACUGCAACCCCUUUUUUUUGAGAAAAUAUAUUGUAAUGUAUUUAAGAUUAGGGUGCCAGUAGGAUAUGAUUGUGUGAGUGUGUGUGAAUAUGUGUGGAUUGUGUGCUUGUGUAUGAAUUUUUGUCUGUUUGCAGACUUGUGGUUAAGAAACUUGGUUAUGAUGUGUGAUUUUGAUGGAUUUACUUAGUAGACCAAGUUUCUAUUACAAGCAGAUCUUUAUUUUGAUAUAUAUGUGAUUUUAUAAGCAAAUGCAAAGUGAUUGCAUUGCAAAUGGUGUGCUAUGGGCAAACAUACAGCUUGGAUAGAGAGAGUGGGUGCGUGGGCCCCACAAGGAGCUCUGAGCCAAGUGAAAAUGUUUAGCAUAUGUAUUUAUAUAAAUACAUGGUAUUUGGAUUGAUUUGUGACCACUCUUGUAUGAUUUGUGCAUUUUGGGGGUUUAGGGUCCAUUUUGGGAAAUGGCACCCGGGUGGUCAAAUUUUGAUGUAUGGGGGUUUUCUCAUUUGAAUGUUCUAUCAAGUGUUUUUAAUCUUAUUUGACGUGUCCAAAGUGUUUCCACAGGUUUGUGACCAUUAGGAUGAGAUUUGAACAAUUUUGAAAAUGGUUUUUACCAAAAAGCUGCACUUUUGCAUCCGGGUGUCCAAAUCUUAAUCCGACCGUUGGAUUUCUCUAAAAUUUGGGUCACAAGUAAAACCUUUUAUAAGCUUCGUGUGGGCUUUAGAGUCACAUCGAUUGGAUAUCGGACGGAGAAACGACGCACUCCGGAAUUUGGUCUGGAAGUGCUGUCAUGACAGCAUUAAAUUGCUGUCAUGACAGCUACAGUAUUGAUUUUAUAACCUGUACAAAAUUCAAUCCGUCUGUUGGAUCUUUUCAAAAUUUAGUAUGCUAAUAGUAUUCUUUAAAAGUGACAUGUGGGCUUUGGAAUCACUUCGAUCGGAGGUCAGAUGAUGAAAUGGUGCACUCCGGAAGUUGGUCCGGAAGUGCUGUCAUGACAGCUUUUUGACAGCAAAAAUAAUCAAAUUUUUAACAUGUCUAAUUUUAAAUCCGACCGUUGGAUCUUUUUGAAAUUUGGUAUACUUAUAGUACCCUUUGAAUGUGACGUGUGAGCUUUAAAAUCACUUUGAUCGGAGGUCGGAUGGCGGAACGACGCCUCCCAGAAGUUGACUCGGGAGGGUUGUCAUGACAGCAAUUUAAAUGCUGUCAUGACAGUAUCUUUUUAUUUCUCUUUCGUCUAACUUGUUUCCGUGCGCUAUAGUUAGAACCUAAAAUUUUUUUAAGGUUUUAAAUGUUUACUUUGCAAUCGUAUAUUUGCUUAGUGAUUUAAAUGGUUUGUUUCCUAAGUUGGUUUUAGGAUUAACUCCUUAACCACACUUAGUUUAUUUGAAUUGUGUGAUUUUUGGAUAACACUCAGAGCAAGUGUUACACAAAGUUUCACAUUAAUUAAAUAAAGGACUCUCCUAGUGUAUAAAUACUUGAAAAUGAAGUGAGCUAGUAAAAUGGGCUUGGAGGAGAAGUAGACUCACGCAUAUGAGACAGGCCAACACAGGGCAAUCGCAAUUGAAAUCAGCCGAUUCGCCCCCCCUCCGCGCGAGUUCAAGAGGUAAUGGGUUCUUUUUACCUAAUUAUUUUUACAAAAUAAAUAAUUAAUUAAUUAUUUUUGCUUACUGAAAAAUCUCAAGUUUUGGCUGUCUAGAAUUUAAAUUCAAACCAUGAAUGUUUUUUUUGUCAUUAACCAAAUUAAUUUUCUUAAUGUGUUUGUCUCCCCAACGUUUUCAAACAAAAAUUUAACUGUGAUUUACGUCUGCGUAACUCUCCAAACAAGCGUUUAAACGUGAUUUAUGAGAGCAUAACCGAAGCUUUAAUCUGUUGAUUAUGGGCCAACGUUUAUGUCUCCAUCUUCGGGCUAUAUAUAAAUAUGGGUGCAGACAGAGCAAGUCGCCAGUUUCUUGAGUUUUCAGGACAAUUCUCUCCUUCCUCUCUUUGUUGUUCAUCUUAUUGUGUUUUAAUUUCUGCUAUUCUAUUUUCUUAUUCUGCAAGAAGUGCUUGUUUAAUCUUAAAAAACUGCCGGUCUGUUGUUCCGGUGUGUCAAAAUAGUUUUUAAGGACAGUGUCCUUUCAAGCACGACUUAAGUAGUUUGUAGUUUGCCGUUUACGUCUUUCACUGGUGCCGCCAACAGGUACAUAGUGCAUUUGACGCAAAAGCAAGACAAGUUGUCAUGGCCACCACAAUGCUUGCUGCUCCUGUAAGUGUGAGUUACAAAAUUCGAGCCCUGCAUGUUGGCUGUUGGCAUGCGGGUACAUAAACUGUAAAUAUUAAAUUAAUUGUUUUUUUUUUUAAUAAG